GUCUCCCCUUCCUAUGAGAGCUCCCAGCACUGCAGAGUGCUCAUGCUGGACCGGAGUGCUGGUGGGGGGGAGGUACCCCCAGAGAGCAGGGGUUCUGGAGUCAGCGACGGCUGGGUUCAAAUCCUCGGUGCACCACUCACUGGCCAUGUGACUCUCUGGACUCAGUUUCCACAUACGUAAAACUGAGGUAGAAACUGCCAUCUUGCAGGGUGUUCAACAGGACGGGCAGCAAGACAUAAAUUCAAUAUAAAUUCCCAGGCACACAGUAGUUGCAAAUAGUUGCUGAGCAAACAGUGGUUUGCUGUUACUACUAGUUUUACCGAUGCCAGCCAGAAAAUCUUUCGUUUUCAAAGUUUUAUAUCUUUAAAGUGAAUUAAUCUCUAACUACUUUGGCUCUGUAAGUUUCCAAUUUGUUUCCUUAAAGCAGAGAGUACCUACACUGAAUUAAUGCAUCUCCACUAGAGUUUGCCUCUGAACGAUUACAUGGAUAUGUGACGGAGGUUAUGAUAAGCUCCUGGAGAACGAAUGUCAUUCCAAAUACCCUUCUGUAGAUUCAAAAACACCUUGCACCAUACUGAGCCUGAUAAAUACUUGCUGAAAUCAUGAAUGAAAAAUCCGCCACUUGGUAUCAUGUAGAGAAAUGGGUCACUAACCUAUCCUCCUAUUAACCACAACCUAAACUUCAACUCAACUUAUUCCUACUCAAAACACUACCUUCUGGGACACCUGGCUGGCUCAGUCAGUGCAGCAUGCAACUCCUGAUCUCAAGAGUUGUGAGAUCGAGCCCCAGGCUGGGCAUAGAGAUUACUUUCAAAAUAAAACCCUUAAAAACAAACAAACAAACGAAAAAACAAACUACCUUCCUUCCUUUCUCUCCACAUGCCUCAUGAGAAUUAUCUCCAGACUCCACUGAGUCCUAAAUCACCUCCCUUCUUUGGAUGUCUGAAGCAUUUAUUGAUUAUACUACCAUGUGGGCACUUAAUACAACAAUGCCUUGGACUCUUAACUGUUUCACGCAGAUAGUUUAUACAUCUCCAAGUAUGUUAGAAGCUUCUGGAUGACAGGAACUGUGUUUAUGGAUUUUUUUUUUUUUAAAGUAUCUCCGUAUCCUGGCACAUAAGUGAAUAAGUGACCUCUAUAAAGUGUGUAUUUCAGGGCCUGGCACCAAAUACGAGCCUGAAAAUGUAAGCUUAAA